UAUCAACCAUCCAGUGACUCCCAAAAAUCUAAAAUCUUACUUUUAAAAGCUUUGUUGUUGUUGUUGUUGUGUAUUUGAUUUUUUUUUUUUACUUUAAAAUUAGCAAAAGUAACUGUUAUGACCAUUAACAGAAACUAGAUGAGAAAACAAUGUCAAAUAUUUGGUUGGGAGCAGAGCAAGCAGACAUCAGACACUUCAUGGGAAAUACAAGGUUAGAAUGCAUGUAUACGGUGUUUGAAAUAAAAAUUGCUUUCAAGGAAACAAUACAAAGGGAAUACAAGGCUCAAGGGUUUUUGCUGGCCUUAGCAUAUGCUCACUGUUCACUUAUUUAUAAACAUCAACAAAGCCCAAUUAAUCUUUAGCUCAAGGAAAGCAAACACAUGAGAGGCAUUGGUCAUGGGGAGCCUGUAUUUGAGGGUUUGUUUUCUUUUGUUGUUUUAUUGUGAAACCUGGAAACUCAUUGCCAGUAUUUUGUUUUGUCUGAGGCUUGCUCUUACCCAGAGGCUUGCUCUACUGAAGUUGUUAUCAGUCCUUUGGAUGUAACAUCUGCCUUUAGAUUUAGAUCUUUCUUCUACUCUUUCUCACUUUUUCCUGACUUCCUCCUCCACACUAUUUAUUAUAGGAAUUUCACUCAAAAUUAAUUAUCAGUCAUGUCACAUCUUGCAGUGCUAAUGGUGGUCACUAUUGAAUUAUGGGGAAUGUGGAUGCAAUUUUCAACAGACUAAUUGCUUCUCCUGAACCCAGUGAAACAUUAUAUUAAAUACCCAUGACUAGCAGAUUGUACUCAAUUUCCAUAACAAACUGAUAAGAUUUCAUUAUCAGAGUCCCUGGAAUCUACUCAAAUGACUUUCUCCUAACUGUUCUCUGGACUAAUUUUGAAUGAAGCGGAUUCUUAUCUAAAGCAGAAGCUGCCUAGUGAGGUAUGGAUAUGUCAGUUUCUCUUGUGGGCCAAAGAGAGAAGAGGAGCAUGUGAUCCAUGAACGUGAACUGAAAGAGCUUUGUUCUUUGGGAGCUGACUGACUGAAGCUCACAGUGUCUCACUAUGCAAAGGACAGUCCUUUGACAAAUGACUGGCAUGGUGUCAUGCCUGAGGAUUGCAAGAAAUUGACCCAUAGUGACACAUGACUAACGUUUGCUGUGGGCAUUUAUUGGGAGUAUUUUUCUGCACCUGUCUCAAAGAUCUCAGAGAAGGGAAAGGAAAACAGAAGC
rnacentral:lncRNA from 1 species